CUAGAAUCCUAGCUCCCAGCAGAGCAGGGUCACUAUGCCCCCACGGAUGGGUGGACAUACGAGGGCAGUGGAAUGGAGCCGGAAGGUUGGCCUGAAGGAUUAUGGACACAUCCACAAUGAACUGCCCCAGACAGCCGAGGAGGACAGAUGCCUGGGUGUGGCUGCUGGUCUGGUUGGCCAUCUAGACACCUCAUGGAAUGAAUCUACCCUGGCGGGGCCAGCUGUGGACUACACGACUCACGGGGAUGCUGUGCCCAUGGACUGAGCUGGAUGGAGGCUCAGUUCCUGUCUCCUUCCUGGAGCUCCCGGUCUAGAAGAAGAUGAAACGGACUUAGGAACCACCCGUUCCUCACUCUGCACAGAAAUGCAUCUUCCUGCUAUAACCUAUUAUUAAUUUUUUCCUGAAUAUAUCACUGGAUAGUGUUAGUGAACAUGAAGUUCUCAUUGUCUUAUGCAUUGACAAGCCCCC
rnacentral:lncRNA from 1 species